rnacentral:rRNA from 1 species
GAUGAACGCUAGCGAUAGGCUUAACACAUGCAAGUCGAGGGGUAACGUGUUGGAAGCUUGCUUCCGAUGACGACGACCGGCGGAUGGGUGCGUAACGCGUAUGCAACUUGCCUCACAGUGGAGAAUAACCCGGAGAAAUCCGGACUAAUGUUCCAUACACUCUUAAGUACGCCUGUACAUGAGAGGAAAGAUUCAUCGCUGUGAGAUAGGCAUGCGUCCUAUUAGGUAGUUGGUGAGGUAACGGCUCACCAAGCCGACGAUAGGUAGGGGUGCUGAGAGGCAGAUCCCCCACAUUGGGACUGAGACACGGCCCAAACUCCUACGGGAGGCAACAGUGAGGAAUAUUGGUCAAUGGAGGAAACUCUGAACCAGCCAAGUCGCGUGAAGGAAGAAUGUCCUAAGGAUUGUAAACUUCUUUAGCGAGCGAGUAAGGACUUCCACGUGAUGGGAGUUUGAAAGUAGCUCGAGAAUAAGUAUCGGCUAACUCCGUGCCAGCAGCCGCGGUAAUAUGGAGGAUACGAGCGUUAUCCGGAUUUAUUGGGUUUAAAGGGUGCGCAGGUGGUCUUGCAAGUCAGUGGUGAAAAGCUGAGACUCAACCUCAGCCUUGCCCCGUGAAACUGUAAGACUUGAGAGUACAUGAUGUGGGCGGAAUGCGUAGUGUAGCGGUGAAAUGCAUAGAUAUUACGCAGAACUCCCGAUGCGAAAGGCAGCUCACAAAGGUAUAUCUGACACUGAGGCACGAAAGCGUGGGGAGCGAACAGGAUUAGAUACCCUGGUAGUCCACGCCGUAAACGAUGAUUACUCGAAGUAUGCGAUAUGACAGUAUGCUUCCAAGCGAAAGUGAUAAGUAAUCCACCUGGGGAGUACGCCGGCAACGGUGAAACUCAAAGGAAUUGACGGGGGCCCGCACAAGCGGAGGAACAUGUGGUUUAAUUCGAUGAUACGCGAGGAACCUUACCCGGGAUUGAAAUGUAUGUGGACCUCUUGGGAAACCGAGAGGGUUCUCUUCGGAGACACAUAUGUAGGUGCUGCAUGGUUGUCGUCAGCUCGUGCCGCGAGGUGUCGGCUUAAGUGCCAUAACGAGCGCAACCCUUAUCGUCAGUUACUAACAGGUCGUGCUGAGGACUCUGGCGAGACUGCCGUCGUAAGGCGAGAGGAAGGUGGGGAUGACGUCAAAUCAGCACGGCCCUUACAUCCGGGGCGACACACGUGUUACAAUGGUAGGGACAGAGAGUAGCCACUCGGUGACGAGGAGCGGAUCUCGAAACCCUAUCUCAGUUCGGAUCGGAGUCUGCAACUCGACUCCGUGAAGCCGGAUUCGCUAGUAAUCGCGCAUCAGCCAUGGCGCGGUGAAUACGUUCCCGGGCCU